rnacentral:lncRNA from 1 species
CCAACCAACAUGCCAUCAAGAACGGGGCUGCUGCACCAGGCCAGACCUUGCACUGAAAGUGAUAAUCAACCAAUGAUGGCUUUUCUUCCUAAUGUGCAUCUGGGGCUCAAUAUUAUCUGCUGCUGGAACAAGAUAUAGCCAAUAUGACUCACGGCAGGUGAGAGGACACAGCUGGAGAAGAGCAAGUCCAGGCUUCCGCUUCCCUUGGGUGGCUGACUUCUAGAUCUGCAAUGCUUAAUCAUAAAAAAAAGGAAGCAAUGGUUGAGGACAUUAAAUGAGAAAUGUGUCUUCAAAGUACCUCGCCUGAAGAGCCAAGAUAAUUUACCAAGCCCGGAAAAGGGCAAGAGCACAUCAGGAUCAGGAUGGACACAACAGAGCUCAGUCUUGAGAAACAAUCGCAGGGGCAUCGUUACAUUUAUCUGGGUCUUUCUUCAUCUGGAGGACUUCCACUGCUGCCGUUCACUGCAGGAUUGGCCGGUGAGACGUGUAAGGAGAGACUUGGCUGUGUUACCCAUAUAAGGAGCCUCCUAGAGGCAGCCCUGCAGCCCUCAGCCCUGAGUGUGUGUAAGGCAACAAGCAUCUCAGCAGGAGGAAAAGACGUGUCUGCCUUC